rnacentral:rRNA from 1 species
UACGGAGGAUGCAAGCGUUAUCCGGAAUGAUUGGGCGUAAAGCGUCCGCAGGUGGCUGUGUAAGUCUGCUGUUAAAUAGUGAGGCUCAACCUCAUAAAGGCAGUGGAAACUACACAGCUAGAGUGCGUUCGGGGCAGAGGGAAUUCCUGGUGUAGCGGUGAAAUGCGUAGAGAUCAGGAAGAACACCGGUGGCGAAGGCGCUCUGCUAGGCCGCAACUGACACUGAGGGACGAAAGCUAGGGGAGCGAAUGGG